rnacentral:lncRNA from 1 species
AAAUGUACCUUCCUGUCUCAGGUUGCAGUACCUGGGUUCACUGUAAUGGCAGGGUGGCUGCAUUUAGGUGGCAGUACUUUUAGAGAGUAAAACCUCGUCUUUUAUUGUGUAUUCAAUGAAGCUGCUUCCGGAACGGCUCCUGUAGGGCAGAGAUCACCCUUGUAACAAAGUGUUGUCUCUUUAAAACAUAUGACUUAAGAGGCAAAACAGGAGUCCUGGGUACUGAGUUCAGGCUAGCCAGAGAUACAUAGACCCCUGUUUCAGACAGACAAACACCAAACACUCUCCACCUAGACUGGUGUGGCUCACUGUUGAGUAACAAAGCUGUUACUAGAAGCCAGGCCUUCUGACCUUUAACUGAGACUUGGUUUGCACACAGUGCGAUGCAGAUCACAGGGAGGACAGAACCACAUGUCCUAUUUUGUCUUUC